AGAGUUUGAUCAUGGCUCAGGAUGAACGCUGGCGGCGUGCCUAAUACAUGCAAGUUGUGCGGUAACAGAGAGAGCUUGCUCUCUGCUGACGAGCGGCGGACGGCAGAGUAACGCGUAGGAACAUACCCCAAACUGAGGGAUAACUGCUCGAAAGAGUAGCUAAUACCGCAUGUGGUCUUCGGAUUAAAGCUUCGGCGGUUUGGGAGUGGCCUGCGUCCGAUUAGCUAGUUGGUGAGGUAAUUGCUCACCAAGGCGACGAUCGGUAGCUGGUCUAAGAGGAUGAUCAGCCUGACUGGAACUGAGAACGGUCCAGACUCCUACGGGAGGCAGCAGUAGGGAAUUUUCCACAAUGGGCGAAAGCCUGAUGGAGCAACGCCGCGUGCAGGAUGAAUGCCUUCGGGUUGUAAACUGCUUUUCUGUGUGAAGAAUAUGACGGUAACACAGGAAUAAGGGUCGGCUAACUACGUG
rnacentral:rRNA from 1 species